ensembl:lncRNA
AUACUAAAAGUAAUAUCCCCAAGAUAAACUGAAGUUGAAUUUGGAUUAAAAUUCCUUCAAAGCAUACUCUAAUUCUUCUGAAAGUGAAGUUCAGGAAGAAUAAGAAAUACAUGGGUAAAUGUAGUCUGGCCAAAAUGUAGGUAGAGUAGAAGAAAAUGAGAGGGCAGAUCUGAGCCCUCUACUUUGUAAAAAUUCUACAGUGAAGCUCUACCUAGCUACCUCACAAAAGCCUCCAGGAAAUAGUGUAUUAUAGGGAAAUAGAUACUGCCAAGAGACCAACUUCCACUCUAAUUUUGAUCAUAUUUGUAUGACCUUGGACAAAUCACUUCCCCCUUGAGGAACCAAGGGGGAAUAAACAAAAUGCACUCAUGGCCCCUCAUAAACUCUAAAAAACUGACUUCGAUUGAGGCCAGCAAAUGUAAAGGGUCGACAUGUUUGCUUUACUCCUAAAAAAGAUUAAAACCAAAAGAAUAAAGGACAGAAGAUAGGGAACUGUAUUUAAGCCUAGACAGAACUAUUUGAAGUGCCACGCAAAGGAAAGGCAACUAAAUGCCAUUAUAGGCCCUGUUUUCAUGCCACCACGGAAUAUAGCUCCUGUUAAUCCUCAGCCUACAAACAUGAGUCUGUCCAUUCUGAAUGCCAAAAAGCCUUGGCCACCAUUUGACUAAGGAAGUUCAAUUACUUCAUCUUUUCACAGAAUAUCAAUGCUCAGCUGCUAAGUAUUUCUACUGGGCAUUGUUGGGGGGGGGGUGGAUAAAGGGAACCAGAAGCCUGGUUAAUUAUCAUUAACUACAGUGUUUAAAGUUUCAAGCAUAAGAAGCAUAUCUACUGAUUCUCUUCUUUGAUAAGCUGUUAUAUAAGUUGAAGUGUGCUCAGAAGACAUUUUAAGGCUCAGGACAACUUUAUAAUGCAAAAUGUAGGAGUUCUCUUGUGGCGCAGCAGGUUAAGGAUCCAACGUUGUGUCACUACAGAGGCUUGGGUCUCUGCUGUGAGUAAGACAAAUAAUGUUUACCAAGUAUGACAAAGACUCUGGAUGUGGUAAUAAAUAUAGAGGGCCUGGGUCCCUCACCUCACGAAAUUUAUUUGCACAACUUGCCCUCUUCCCCAAGAGGAACAAAUUAUUAUUCUUUAACCACCUCAAAAGGGUUCCUGGCUGCUUCUCUUAAGUUUUACAUGAGACAAAAUAUGGCAGUCAAGAGAAUACUUAUUUUAAGUGCACUAAAUUUACUUAAAUAAAGAGCUAGAAAAAGUAGAAAACGGACACCAAAGCUAUUAGUUUUCUGACAAGGGCUCAAACACCAUAAAGAUUGUAAAAAUACAAACAAAAACCAACCAAACAAAAAACACAAAACUGUUCUUGAGAGACUACUCUUAAGUCAUUAUUCCAUCAGUAGAGUCCUGCUUUCAAGCUAGCAGGCGUGAAGACAACUUCACACCAACCCUCCCCGCUCCACUUCCCAAAAGAGUCAGAACCGGCAUGCAAAGGGUGAGUUUUAUUUCCAAAGAUUUUUUUAAAUUGCUGUUCAGAAGUUGUCUAGCAAGACGGCAUAUUUCUACCAGAAUUCCUCAGGGGCGCUGAUCCUCACUAGAACACCGAGGACUAUCCGUCUCAAAUUGCAGGUAAGUGCGAACAAGCCCACGAUCUGGUCAGCGCACCAGGACCCCGCGCCGAAAACACUGUUCAAAGUUGUUUCAAAGGGUGUGGAGCAGUUAUUACAGCUGUUUACAGCUCCAACUCCAAACGAGAGCCUGCUAGUGCUGGCAUCAGCUCCGGACACGAAAAAACAAGCACCGCGGGCGGAGAAUCUCACCGGGAGCUGAAGGGCCAGGCUGCUGCCGUUAGUUCGCCAGGGGGGCAGCGCCUGUACCUCCGCGCCGCCGCCCGGCCGGGAGCGCCGCCAAGUUUUCCCCAGGCAGUCGGAGCCGGGGGCGGCGGGCGCCGGCCAGAGUUCCCAAGUCAAGGGGUCCUGAGACAGUCGGCGCGAGCUGGGCCACGGACCAAGGACAACCUGCCCCGAGGGGACCUCUCCCCGGCUCGCCCGCCCCUCCCUGGUCCAGCCGUCGAACUCGGCUCAAGGUGGCAGAAUUCCCC